UAACUAUGCUAAUAUAUAACAUAAUUACAGUCGCUUUUACAGCGUUGUCGAUCAUUCGUUGUGUGGCAUCGUUCAUUCUGUUUGUCGUCAUCAUCGUCAUUAUCGUAUUUGUUUGCUACCUACUGAAGCCUAAACGGAAAAGGCAAUACGCAUUGAAAACACCGCAUGAAGUAUCAUACCACAGACCACAAUCGCAAUGGCUAACCUACACGUAAAAUAAGAACUAGCAGGUCAAAUUAAUUAGAAAGACAGCAAUUUAACAGAUCGUUUUCUGCCACAUAUACUUUAUCUUUAUAAGUAUACACAAAAGAAAACAGAAUCAACCCUACUGGAGUAGGAAUUCCUUCCUAAUAAACUUAGUACUGGUGACUUUUUACGGAGUACCACGGUGCUCUAUCUUUGGUCCUAUAUCAAAUGACACAGGAUAACCACUAACUAUGUGGCUCUUUCAAAAAAAAGCACGAUUCAACGUUUAAAUACACUCUAUUAUUCAAAUAGCACAAAUGAUUGUACGUUAAACCAGGAGGAUGUAAUUCUUGUAACCAAUCAAAUAGGCCCUUUGCAUUCUACAGUCACGUGAUGUAAAAGAAAUUAACGAAUUUAAUGAAUCGCAAGUUUAACAAAAGAACUUUGAGGAAAAAUUGAUGGUAAUGAAAUAUAAGGACUUUGGUAGCUUUUCUCCCCAUAUAACUUACAGUCACGUGACUACUAACUGCAAAAAGCCUAUUUAUUGAAAAAAAUGAUUCGUAAUCAAAUGAAUUUCACAUAAGAUUCAA